AUACGUAGGUGACAAGCGUUAUCCGGAUUUACUGGGCGUAAAGGGCGUGUAGGCGGUCUUGCAAGUCAGAAGUGAAAUUCCUGAGCUCAACUCGGGCGCUGCUUCUGAAACUGCAGGACUUGAGUGCUGGAGGGGAUAGCGGAAUUCCUAGUGGAGCGGUAAAAUGCGCAGAUAUUAGGAAGAACACCGGUGGCGAAGGCGGCUAUCUGGACAGUAACUGACGCUGAGGCGCGAAAGCGUGGGGAGCAAACAGGAUUAGAUACCCUGGUAGUCCACGCUGUAAACGAUGAAUACUAAGUGUUGGAAAAAUCCAGUGCUGAAGUUAACGCAUUAAGUAUUCCGCCUGAGUAGUACGUACGCAAGUAUGAAACUCAAAUGAAUUGACGGGG
rnacentral:rRNA from 1 species